rnacentral:lncRNA from 1 species
CAGGAGCUCUGUUUGUGAGUGGUCAGCCUGAGAACAGUGACAUUUAAAAAAAAAAAUCUUACAGCCUUUGAAUGAAUACAACGUCGCCCGGUUGGAAUAUUAUCCCUAUUUUACGAGAAAAAUCGCGUAAAAAUUGAUUUUAAACAGUGUUUGACAUGCUUCGAAGCACGGUAAUGGAAUAUUUUGACAUUUUUUGUCACGAAAUGCACUUGCGCGUCACCCUUGGGAUAUUGACCUGAACGCAAGAACAAAACGGAGCUAUUUGAAUAUAACUAUGGAUUAUUUGGAACCAAAACAACAUUUGUUGUUGAAGUAGAAGUCCUGGGAGUGCAUUCUGACGAAGAACAGCAAAGCAAUCAGCUUCAACAUGGAGACUUCCUUACAAGAACCUGAAGUUCCAUGUGUGCAAUCUUGGUGGACAGACAAGUAUCAGGACCUGAGCCCUAGGACCAUGCCUCAGGACUACCUGGCUUGAUGACUCCUUGCUGUCCCCAGUUCACCUGGCCGUGCUGCUGCUCCAGUUCCAACUGUUCUGCCCGCAGCUAUGGAACCCUGACCUGUUCACCGGACGUGCUACCUGUCCCA